GAUGAACGCUGGCGGCGUGCUUAACACAUGCAAGUCGAACGGAAAGGCCCAAGCUUGCUUGGGUACUCGAGUGGCGAAUGGGUGAGUAACACGUGGGUGAUCUGCCCUGCACUUCGGGAUAAGCCUGGGAAACUGGGUCUAAUACCGGAUAGGACGAUGGUUUGGAUGCCAUUGUGGAAAGUUUUUUCGGUGUGGGAUGAGCUCGCGGCCUAUCGGCUUGUUGGUGGGGUAAUGGCCUACCAGGGCGUCGACGGGUAGCCGGCCUGAGAGGGCGUGCGGCGGCAUGGGGACCUAGGGGCGGCCCAAGCGGGGAAGGGGGGCAGAAGGGGGGAAUCUUGAUCAAGGGGUGCAGGCUUGAUGCAGCAGGCCCGCGGGUGGUAAGACGGUUUUGGGGUGAAAAAACCGUUGCCGGAGGAAAGAAGGGUUUUUGGACGGUACCCAGAGAAAAAGCCCCGGCUAACUUCGUG
rnacentral:rRNA from 1 species